rnacentral:lncRNA from 1 species
CUUGAGAUUCCAGUUACCAGGGUGAUCUUCAGGUGACUCGUAACCUCGCUGCUAGUCGUAGCAAUACAAACAAACAUGGUAUAGACAAAAUUAACAUCACACCAAGAAUAAGUACAAAUUGAAUAAUAAUGAUCUACACAUUGCUACGAGAUCGCGGGAUCGAGAACUACUAAGAUCGGAGUUACGAUUAAGGAGUUAUGAUUUUAUAGAGGAUUCAUGUGAUUAAAAUAUUAAACUAUAUCAUAAAUUGGUUAAUAUAAAUCACAUGAGAGUUUACUCUAUAAAGAAUUAUCUCAACUUUAAUAUAGGUUUUAGAUUGACCAUAGAUUAGAUUCUAGUAGAUUAUAAUGAUAAGUAGUUUAACGAGACUCACCAACAUAUGUUAAAUAAAGACCUAAUUAUAAAAGAACAAGACAUGGUAUAAUAAAUGUUGUUAUUGCAUAGUAAAUAUCUACACGAGACUAACACAACUUGAACGGAUCGCAUCGGAGUUACGGAUUGUGAGUUAUGAAUUCCCGAAGUUCAUGUGUGCUUGCUACAAAAUUAAUUGAGUAAUUAAUUCUGGUAUAGAUUUCAUGUUAAAACAGUGCUACCAAGUAGUAGGCAAUAUUAAUACAAAAUUAUGGGAACUUGAAUGAACUAAAAAGGGGUUAAAAUAAAUUCUAUAUAAAUUUUAUAAGUUUGUAUAAUUAUUUUUGUGUUGAAAAUCAAUCUCUGAUAUUAUUUAUAUGAUUUUCCUUAUUAUCCGGACUGCACAUCAAUUUACAGAGAAGGCAAGGGCCACGGCACAAUUAAACCCAAGACUCAGACAACCCUGGCUAUGAACUGCGGGUUGGUUUCUUAAUAACUGAGGGGCUCUUACGCAAGAAUGGCACGACGAAGAGGUAUCACGGGAUCUGGACCGCACGAUCUGUUUCACACGCUCACGAUUAGAUCUAUAUCAUAUUGAACCGGUACAGGAUCGCCACCGUCCAUUUACAGAUCAACAGCCUGGGUUUUAUUGAAGAGCGCCCUGAUUCCAGCCACUAGAUCCCGAUCGGAGGGUCCCGAUCGCACACGAGAAACUCUACAUCUAGGAUCUAAUCUGUCCGUCCGUUGGUCGAUCAAUGGCUGGUCGUCAUUCUCCUACCACAGUCCGAGCUGGGUGACGAUGCCUAGGUCAUCUUCUACCCCUGGCAGCACCCACGCGGCGGUGAGUGAGCUGUGAGCAGGUGCUCCGCCAACCUAGUACCAGUGCACGCUACCCUCCUAUGGCAAGCGCUACGUAGAGCGGAUAGCAAAUCAAAACAAAGGUUCUCUACACUUACCAGAGAUCACGUCGCGGAGAUCGACAAUCAUGGCGGGAGGCGGUUUGGCGGUGGUCCGAGGACUCCGACGAAUAGUUCAUCAGGAAUGGGGCAGCGUUUCCCACGGUGACACGAGCGACAGCUCCCUCACACACAAGCGGACACCAUCGGCAAGGAUCCAUGGCGGCUGCAGCCCACUGCUCCUCUUCUCUCUCCCGUACUCACGUUCGGCAGCGAGGCCGAGCACGUACACAGGCACCCCGGCGACCAAACAGAGUGCCCAGUCAAGACCUUGGAGACGACGAAUCACGCGACCGAUGGAAGAAGUAGCCAGCACCGAGCGACUGAGGGCCAGUGGCCAUGGAUCAGGGAGUGGCACGACGGAGCGCAGAUUUGUGAAUCCACAGCACUACCGACGAGGGAGGAGAUGGAUAAAAAUGCACUGCCGCCAGCAGGGGCUGGACGAGGCGCGAGGCGAGCUCGGGAGGAUAAACUCCUAGGCCCAGGCGUGGUUUG